CUCUCGGUGGCCAAGCUGGCUAAGGCGCGAGACUGUAAUUAUCUUGAGAUCGGGUGUUCGACUCACCCCCGGGAGA
rnacentral:tRNA from 1 species